rnacentral:lncRNA from 1 species
CUUUUGUUCAAAUUCUUUUCAAAUGUUAUUCAAAAUGAAUGGAGACAUCUCUGCCUUUCAAGGGAUGAACACCUGAGAGUUUACUUUUUCUAUGAAAAUCAACCAAACAACCAACAAGCAUUUACUAAGGGUUGGAAAUGACAGGGGGUUUCCCCAUCUAAAAUUUUGGUAAGAGUAAUUUUUCUGGAGACCACCAACGGUUAGGAAUGACUGGAGUUCUCUGAAUUUCACAUCAUUGUUGCCUUUAUCUUGGGAACACAUAAGAACUCAAAUGUAAAAUUCUCCCACUGUUUACAAAGAGGGUCUUCGGAAUUACCCUUCAUUGUUCAUCCCAAAUGCUUACCAGCCCUCCAUGCCAAACAGUUCACUUGUAAUUGGCCUCAUAUAGGUAAGUUUCUGUCAUUUAUGUUUAUAUCUAUAUGUAAUGCUUAAAAAUCAACGAGGGCUUCUGUGUGGGGCAUUAAUGAUUGACUAAAUUAACAUAUUUAUUGAUUUUGGUUAUAUUAACAGAAGGAUAACCAAUUGCUAAUUUAAGCAAGACUCUAUGUCUAGAUCACAAAUGCCAAUGUACAAGCCCAGUUUUGGGUGGAGAGUAGCAG